ensembl:lncRNA
GCAGCCGGUCCAUCUGAAAGUCAGAGGCAGAGGAGACAACAAACCCCAGCAGAACUUGGCCGAUGGUGAUGACUUCUGCUCAUGCUGUGGAUUCUGAUCAAGUGCUUGAGAGAAAAUGAAAAGCUCUUCUAGAUCAGCGCCAUCUAGAGACAUACUUCAGACUGCAGCGCUUGAAAGAUGUGAUGUCCAAUCAGCAUGCUACAUUAAUGAGGGGAAAAAUUCAAAGACAAAGACAAGAGAUGAAGCUCUAUGAUUCCAGACCUAGAGAAGGACAUAGAGAACAGACACUUGUCAGCCUUCAGAGGGCCACCAGAUCAACCCUCACACAUGAUGAUGCAUACCUGAGGUGUCUGCCUAAAACACGCUACUAUCUGGUUCUGGAAUUGCAGAAAGGGCUUAAACGACUCUGGUGUCUUCAGAGCCGCAGGGAAUGGGGGUUCAGGGUCUGGACAGAACCACACAGAAGCACAUGUCAACUUGAGAAGCAACUACAAGCAGCGGAACACAUCAGUAAUUCCAGCUCAGAUGUGACUCUUGAGGUUCUGCUGAAACAGAAGUCUGGGUCUCUCUCGAAACUUCCCGAUCACACCUGGUGACUCCACAGCUCAACACAAACAUGUAAGCUUAUGCUCAUUCAGUCAGUCACUGGCCACAACACUUCAGAUGAAUGUAGAAUUCAAUUGCCUUUCCCCUUCUUUGUUUGCUAUGCUUGUCUUACUUAUUCUUACAAAAACGUUUAAAAAAAAACAAUAAUAAUAAUAACAAC